GAUGAACGCUGGCGGCGUGCCUAAUACAUGCAAGUCGAGCGAACAGACGAGGAGCUUGCUCCUCUGACGUUAGCGGCGGACGUGUGAGUAACACGUGGAUAACCUACCUAUAAGACUGGGAUAACUUCGGGAAACCGGAUCUAAUACCGGAUAAUAUAUUGAACCGCAUGGUUCAAUAGUGAAAGACGGUUUUGCUGUCUCUUCUAGAUGGAUCCGCGCCGCAUUAGCUAGUUGGUAAGGUAACGGCUUACCAAGGCAACGAUGCGUAGCCGACCUGAGAGGGGGGUCGGCGACACUGGAACUGAGACACGGUCCAGACUCCUACGGGAGGCAGCAGUAGGGAAUCUUCCGCAAUGGGCGAAAGCCUGACGGAGCAACGCCGCGUGAGUGAUGAAGGUCUUCGGAUCGUAAAACUCUGUUAUUAGGGAAGAACAAAUGUAUAAGUAACUAUGCACGUCUUGACGGUACCUAAUCAGAAAGCCACGGCUAACUACGUG
rnacentral:rRNA from 1 species